rnacentral:tRNA from 1 species
GGGAAGGUCGCCUAAUGGGUAGGGCACGGGGCUGUGAUCCCCGGCGAGUGGGUUCGAAUCCCAUCCUUCCCCCCA